GAUGAACGCUGGCGGCGUGCCUAAUACAUGCAAGUCGAGCGAACAGACGAGGAGCUUGCUCCUCUGAUGUUAGCGGCGGACGGGUGAGUAACACGUGGAUAACCUACCUAUAAGACUGGGAUAACUUCGGGAAACCGGAGCUAAUACCGGAUAACAUGUUGAACCGCAUGGUUCAACAGUGAAAGACGGUCUUGCUGUCACUUAUAGAUGGAUCCGCGCCGCAUUAGCUAGUUGGUAAGGUAACGGCUUACCAAGGCAACGAUGCGUAGCCGACCUGAGAGGGUGAUCGGCCACACUGGAACGGGAACACGGUCCAGACUCCUACGGGAGGCAGAAGUAGGGAAUCUUCCGCAAUGGGCGAAAGCCUGACGGAGCAACGCCGCGUGAGUGAAGAAGGUCUUCGGAUCGUAAAACUCUGUUAUUAGGGAAGAACAAAUGUGUAAGUAACUAUGCACGUCUUGACGGUACCUAAUCAGAAAGCCACGGCUAACUACGUG
rnacentral:rRNA from 1 species